CUUUCUGCAAGGUGCUGCAUGGUUGUCGUCAGCUCGUGCCGUGAGGUGUCGGGUUAAGUCCCAUAACGAGCGCAACCCUUAUCGUUAGUUGCCAUCUGGUAAUGCAGGGGACUCUAGCGAAACUGCCACCGUAAGGUGAGAGGAAGUGGGAUGACGUCAAAUCAGCAGGCCCUUAUGUCCAGGGCUACACACGUGUUACAAUGGUCGGUACAGAGGGCAGCUACCUGGUGACAGGAUGCUAAUCUCGAAAACCGGUCUCAGUUCGGAUCGAAGUCUGCAACUCGACUUCGUGAAGCUGGAUUCGCUAGUAAUCGCGCAUCAGCUAUGGCCGCGGUCGAAUACGUUCCCGGGCCUU
rnacentral:rRNA from 1 species